AGAGUGAGAAGAAAAGGUAUUUUGGAAAACAGAGAUUAGGUUUCAGCCGGGAACAUGUGGAGAAAGGCAGGAGCUAGGGUCUGAAGGGCAGGCAUGGGGCGCCAGAGCCCACAGUAAGGCUCAGAAAACCUCAGCUAGAGCGGAGGCUAGAAGGUAGGUAAAGUGAAGAGAAGAGGGGCAACUACAAGUGUCUUCCCUGGAUGGGGGGCACUUCUCUAACCCUCCAGAUUUGAGAGGCAUUCUCACUUCCUUUCCUGCUCAGCUUCCAGUGACAAUGUUUCCAUGCUGAAACACCCUAAUGCAUGUGAUUGUUUCAGAGACAAGUUCUGGAAAGGACAUGGUCCCAUCUCCUAUUGAACCCAGUCCAACAAACAAACCGAAAGUAAUCAGAACUAAUUCAUAUCUUUGCUCAAUCUCUCAGGAAACAGGCGAAGGUGGAGCUGGGAUAGACAAAGUAUGUUUUCAUGCCCAAGAAAAGUAGCAAAUUGUUGCACAAAUCCAUUCAUCCCUCAUUCACCACUUUUCAUACUCCUCACUUCCUAAUAUCUUCUGAAAAUCCCCACACUCUCAACUCCCAACUUCAAUACCCACUCACUUUCUAAUAUAAACCUUCCAGCUUCUCCAGAUUGCCCCCAGCUAUUUACUUACACCAAAAUUCAUAAUAAGGUCCAGUUGAAUGUGUGAGUCUGCGUCAGUGGGAGGGAUCCUCCCUGAGUCAGGGAAAUGGGCUGAUUCACUCACAUUGUUUCUGCCUGCAAUGUUCUUCCUUCAGCUAUCUGUAUGUCUUUUUUAUAAGAAGAAGAAGGAGAAGAAGAAGGAGGAGGUGGAGGAGAAGGCAAACUUAAAAAGCCACCAGAACGGAAGCUCUGUGACCUUAGACACUUUGUACCCCACUGCCUGAAGUGAUAGCUGGCAUGUAAUGAACACUCAAUGAACAUGGAAUGAAUGAAUGAAUGAACAUUCUAGUAUCAUGCAUGCCUGCUCCUCAGAGGCUAAUUACAUUGUAUACAGCCACACUUGUCAACCCUACACUUGGAAUGAUGGUGCAUAUUAAAAGUUCGAGAAGGAAGCCUGCGGUUCUUUGUGUACAGAAGCUUGUUACCACAUGCUGGACUUUCUCCCUGUUGUGGACAUAGUUCUCACGCAGCCCCAGAAUUCCUUAGCAUCUGGGAGGAAAGCUGGUCAGUAGAUACCAGAAGAUGCUUGGAGGAGUGGGCCCAACCUGGUGCUGAAGUGGGGGCAGUUGAGAUACUUCUCUAUCCCAAUAAGGCUUCAAUGCAGGGGAUACCAAUUCUAAAAGCAAUGCUAGCAGGCAGCUGCCUGCUGUUCAAAUAAAAUCCUGUUGCCACAUGAA